ACCUAAGGCGAGGCCGAGAGGCGUAGUCGAUGGACAACAGGUAGAGAUUCCUGUACUUACGGUAUGAAUGAUGGAGUGACGGAGAAGGCUAGCGGAUCCUGCUGAUGGAAAUGCAGGUGCAAGCGAGGUAGCCGACAGCCAGGCAAAUCCGGCUGUCGAAAGGCAAAGGCGUGAGGCGUAUGGACAGCUGCGGCAAGAACAAAAGGCCGUGAAGCCAGCUUCCA
rnacentral:rRNA from 1 species